GGUUUGAUUCUACCUUAAAUAGUAGAUUAUCGGCUCCAACUCCACCUCGUGCUAUCGAGACAAUUAGCUGGAAGAAGGCAGCUGAAUAUUUCCAAAAGCUUCUUCAUGAACUAGAGAUCAUAUGUUUCUACAGUUUAGAUCCAGUCUUUGAAGGUGUUUUACGAUUUGUGGUCGAGUUUCAAAAGUUUCAACCAGAAUUGGUUGCUAGAGCUCAUCUCCAGCAUUUGCUGGUUCAAGAUGGGAAGCUUUAUGGGCGUGACUCUGUCUUUGCUGUGAUUUGUAAAGCUUCUUUGUUACCUGAGGUGGCGAAGAACCAUGAUAUUCAGAAGAACGAAACUGUUGUACAGCUUGGGCAAUUGUUAAUCACUUUGCUUCGAGUUCUUUGUACCAACAUUUCGUGGCAAAGGCGUAAACUUGGAAAGAUUUUGCAAGAUUGGCGCAUCAUACACGUACAGGU